rnacentral:rRNA from 1 species
GAGUUUGAUUAUGGCUCAGAUUGAACGCUGGCGGCAGGCUUAACACAUGCAAGUCGAACGAUGAUUACUAGCUUGCUAGUAUGAUUAGUGGCGAACGGGUGAGUAAUGCUUAGGAAUCUGCCUAUUAGUGGGGGACAACAUUCCGAAAGGAAUGCUAAUACCGCAUACGUCCUACGGGAGAAAGCAGGGGAUCUUUUGACCUUGCGCUAAUAGAUGAGCCUAAGUCGGAUUAGCUAGUUGGUGGGGUAAAGGCCUACCAAGGCGACGAUCUGUAGCUGGUCUGAGAGGAUGAUCAGCCACACUGGGACUGAGACACGGCCCAGACUCCUACGGGAGGCAGCAGUGGGGAAUAUUGGACAAUGGGCGAAAGCCUGAUCCAGCCAUGCCGCGUGUGUGAAGAAGGCCUUUUGGUUGUAAAGCACUUUAAGUGGGGAGGAAAAGCUAAUAAUUAAUACCUAUAGCCCUGACNUACCCCCAG